UUUGAAGACUCUAUGUCCAAGCAUACCAAAGUUAUAACAAUUUUAACAUUUUAACAUUUAAAGUCACAGUGACCUUGACCUUCAAAUGAAUGACAUUGAAAUGACCAGUGGUCAUCUUCUAGUACUGGCCAAUCUUUAUUUCAAGUUUGAAGACUCUAGGUACAAGCAUACCAAAGUUAUAACAACUUUAACAUUUUUACAUUCAAGGUCACAGUGACCUUGACCUUCAAAUGAAUGACCUUGAAAUGUCCAGUGGUUACUUACUAGUUCUGGCCAACCUUCAUGUCAAGUUUCAAGACUCUAGGUCCAAGCAUACCAAAGUUAUAACAACUUUAACAUUUUUAUAUUGAAGGUCACAGUGACCUUCACCUUCAAAUGAAUGACCUUGAAAUGACCAGUGGUCAUCUGUUAAUCCUGGCCAACCUUCAUGUCAAGUUUGAAGACUCUAGGUCCAAGCAUACCAAAGUUAUACCAUGAAAUAAGAACUUUAACAUUUUUACAUUCAAGGUCACAGUGACCUUGACCUUCAAAUGAAUGACCUUGAAAUGACCAGUGGUUACUAACUAGUUAUGGCCAACCUUCAUGUCAAGUUUCAAGACUCUAGGUCCAAGCAUACCAAAGUUAUAACAACUUUAACAUUUUUUAUAUUGAAGGUCACAGUGACCUUGACCUUCAAAUGAAUGACCUUGAAAUGACCAGUGGUCAUCUGUUAAUCCUGGCCAACCUUCAUGUCAAGUUUGAAGACUCUAGGUCCAAGCAUACCAAAG